rnacentral:rRNA from 1 species
UACGAACUGUGCGAACGUUAUUCGGAAUUACUGGGCGUAAAGAGCUCGUAGGUGGUUUGUCGCGUUGUUCGUGAAAACUCACAGCUUAACUGUGGGCGUGCGGGCGAUACGGGCAGACUAGAGUACUGCAGGGGAGACUGGAAUUCCUGGUGUAGCGGUGGAAUGCGCAGAUAUCAGGAGGAACACCGGUGGCGAAGGCGGUUCUCUGGGCAUUACCUUACGCUGAGGAGCGAAAGCAUGGGGAGCGAACAGG